rnacentral:rRNA from 1 species
UUGAACGCUGGCGGCAGGCCUAACACAUGCAAGUCGAGCGGAUGAAGGGAGCUUGCUCCUGGAUUCAGCGGCGGACGGGUGAGUAAUGCCUAGGAAUCUGCCUGGUAGUGGGGGAUAACGUCCGGAAACGGGCGCUAAUACCGCAUACGUCCUGAGGGAGAAAGUGGGGGAUCUUCGGACCUCACGCUAUCAGAUGAGCCUAGGUCGGAUUAGCUAGUUGGUGGGGUAAAGGCCUACCAAGGCGACGAUCCGUAACUGGUCUGAGAGGAUGAUCAGUCACACUGGAACUGAGACACGGUCCAGACUCCUACGGGAGGCAGCAGUGGGGAAUAUUGGACAAUGGGCGAAAGCCUGAUCCAGCCAUGCCGCGUGUGUGAAGAAGGUCUUCGGAUUGUAAAGCACUUUAAGUUGGGAGGAAGGGCAGUAAGUUAAUACCUUGCUGUUUCGACGUUACCAACAGAAUAAGCACCGGCUAACUUCGUG